UGCCGAUAUGAUGGUAAUUGC
rnacentral:siRNA from 1 species